UACGUAGGGUGCGAGCGUUGUCCGGAAUUACUGGGCGUAAAGAGCUCGUAGGUGGUUUGUCGCGUUGUUCGUGAAAACCGGGGGCUUAACCCUCGGCGUGCGGGCGAUACGGGCAGACUGGAGUACUGCAGGGGAGACUGGAAUUCCUGGUGUAGCGGUGGAAUGCGCAGAUAUCAGGAGGAACACCGGUGGCGAAGGCGGGUCUCUGGGCCGUGACUGACGCUGAGGAGCGAAAGCGUGGGUAGCAA
rnacentral:rRNA from 1 species